rnacentral:lncRNA from 1 species
ACGAUACUGGAGGAGUUUUAUAAGUGUUGAUUUUGAAUGAGUUUUCCGGAAAGGUUACUUUUCAAGGUUAUGGCACGGUUGGAAUAGGAGAACCAUGUGGAGUUGAGUACUUAGUGGCCUUCAUUUUCUAAAAGACUUAGCUUAUUUGCUUCCGCUGUGCAAUGAAGAUACCAGUCCAGUCACGCCAAUGCUCUGAUAUUUUCGGGGUGUGACAGAUUGGUAUCAGAGCUAUAGGUUACAGUGAAUAAGGUUUUCUGUAGGAAUACCUAGGCUCUAACCUCAAUUUUCUCUGGGACUUAGACUACUGAGACUUUGAAUACAUACAGAACGCCUAAGACUCGAAUAUGGUCUCCAACCAUUGCCGAAAAACAAACAAUCAAGAUCUUGUUUUCAAACAUACGCUAUUGUUGUGUUUUAUACACAAUACACAAAACAAAUACGCACGGUAAACAAAACUUUGAGAGUUAGGAAACAUGCAUUUAGGACCUUCGGAAACUUAUGUUGAAGUUCAUUAAAGGUCAUCACGUAGGAACCGCGAAUAUUAACUCGGGCACACACUAUCAUCCAUAUUGUCUACUAUAUUUUAAUUUCCCGAGCAGGCAGCCUACGCAUAACGAAACACUAGUGCCGAGAAUACAUGGAACUUAAAUUUUACGUCAACGGAUGUUGGAGUACAUCACAUUCUACGUGGAACGAAAAGCUAGUGCACAGGUUGAAGGGGUAUGGUCCCAGAUCUCGCGUCAGCAUCGACCGCGAGUGACCAUUAC